rnacentral:rRNA from 1 species
UGGGGAAUAUUGGACAAUGGGCGCAAGCCUGAUCCAGCCAUGCCGCGUGAGUGAUGAAGGCCUUAGGGUUGUAAAGCUCUUUCGCCGGUGAAGAUAAUGACGGUAACCGGAGAAGAAGCCCCGGCUAACUUCGUGCCAGCAGCCGCGGUAAUACGAAGGGGGCUAGCGUUGCUCGGAAUCACUGGGCGUAAAGCGCACGUAGGCGGAUUCGUUAAGUCAGGGGUGAAAUCCUGGAGCUCAACUCCAGAACUGCCCUUGAUACUGGCGAUCUCGAGUUCGAGAGAGGUUGGUGGAACUCCGAGUGUAGAGGUGAAAUUCGUAGAUAUUCGGAAGAACACCAGUGGCGAAGGCGGCCAACUGGCUCGAUACUGACGCUGAGGUGCGAAAGCGUGGGGAGCAAAACAGGAUUUAGAUACCCUGGUAGUCCACGCCGUAAAGCGAUGGAUGCUAGCCGUUGGGGGGUUUUACCUCCAGUGGCGCAGCUAACGCCUUAAGCUCCCG